GCGGAUAUGGCGGAAUAGGCAGACGCGCUAGAUUCAGGUUCUAGUGUCAGCAAUGACGUGCAGGUUCAACUCCUGUUAUCCGCA
rnacentral:tRNA from 1 species